UCCCUAACCCUUGCUCCUCCUCCCCAACCCAAAUCCAACAAAUCCCUAACCGAAAGGCCGUCCACCCGCCGCUCUACCUUCCAGCCUUCUCUCUCUCGCUGGGAGCCAUGGCGACAUUCUCGUGGGUGUCCUUUCAGUUCCGCACCGGCUGAUGAAACUCCUUUAUAAGAGCCCGGAGGUUGAGGUUGUGGCGAUGGAUUGGAUUUUGAGGCACCAUGGUGUUGGGCUUGGAUCCAUUCUAUUGCUUCUCUUCUCUAAAUGCUCUUCGUGGAACAGCUGGAGAUUUAAUGUAUUUUCUUCUCCAAGAACUGGUGCAAAUAAUGUUGGCUCUAAAUAUCAGGAUUACUUGAACUUAUUUGAGGUUCCUUUCACUCUGGAGGGUUCUAGUCGUUCUUUUUGUGGUUUCUAGUUUGAACAUCAAGAUUAUGGGGGCCAACUGUUGUGUGGCUGCUCCAAGGAAGAAACCUUUGUUUUCCUAUUACAAGAUGAGCGGCAGUCUAGUAGCUCAGCAAGCUGUCCACAGAAAAUGCUACAAUAUUCACAGAAAUUAGAGGCACAAUAUGAAAUUGCAUUACAAGCAUCUUAAGAACGUCUUACAUGUGGACCCUUAUAGUCAUCCAUACGAACAUGUGACUCAAGAGGAUUGACGCCACUUAAUUGACGAUGUGUGGAAAAGCAAAGAACACAAGGUGAGAUCAAAAGCUGGCAAAAAGAAUAGGAAAAAGCUUGAGUACAAUCAUUGUUCAGGAUCUCGGUCAUUUGUUGCAACAAUGACUAUACCAGUAAUAUGUUUUUGACCGGAGUUUAAUGGUUGUGAAAACCUUGAAUUUCCAGAAUUCUAUAAGAAAACUCAUACCAAGAAGAGCAAAGAGUGGAUUGAUCCUAUUUGCGUCGUGAAACAUUCAAAGAUGUUGAGUUUGCGCGAAGAAUCUUUCCAAUCCGGUGUGCAAUUAACAUUAGAGGAGAUGUCUAGGCAGGCACUUGGAAAAAAGAAGAGAUACAUUCUUGGAUUUGGGGUUGGGCCGAAGCGCUCUUCAUCUUCUUCCACACCUAGUCGUGUGUCACAAGACCAUGUUGGGGAGUUGCAGAAACUUAAAGCUGAGAUGGAGGAGAUGAAGAUGGAGCGUGAGGAGCUGCGGAGACAAUUGGAGCAGGAGAGGAGAGAGCGUAAGGAGGAAAGAAAAGAGCGAGAGGAAGAACAGAAGCAAAUUGCAUAUCUUACAAGUUUGGUGACAGAGUUCUUAAAGAAAAAGACUCAAAUGCACAAGUCAUCUAUCCAUCAUGAUGGGGCCAUGUAUUCAACUGGUAGUACAAAUACUUGUUGAUACAUGGUGGAGUUAUGAGCAUGUGAAAUCUAGUUUUUGGUACAUGGAUAGCUUUUGUUCAGAUGAUCAUGGUGGAGUUGUCUACAAGCAGAAUCCAGUUUUUGAUAUAAGAAUAUUUUUGUCUACAUGAUGGUUGUUUGGAUGAAUAGCAAGAUCAGAUAUUUUGAGAUUUUUAAUUUAUAUUUUGAUGUGUUUGGUGAUGAUUAUCACCUUAACAUAUGGUAUGGAUGAAACAUUGUGAUGUAUGGUUAAUAGGUAUGCUUGACUUUAGACUUAUAGAUAAUGAUAUUUAUAAUGAAUGAUUAUGGAUUCUCCAA